rnacentral:rRNA from 1 species
CGUUGGAACUGAGACACGGUCCAAACUCCUACGGGAGGCAGCAGUGAGGAAUAUUGGUCAAUGGACGUAAGUCUGAACCAGCCAAGUCGCGUGAGGGAAGACUGCCCUAUGGGUUGUAAACCUCUUUUAUAAGGGAAGAAUAAGUUCUACGUGUAGAAUGAUGCCUGUACCUUAUGAAUAAGCAUCGGCUAACUCCGUGCCAGCAGCCGCGGUAAUACGGAGGAUGCGAGCGUUAUCCGGAUUUAUUGGGUUUAAAGGGUGCGUAGGCGGUUUAUUAAGUUAGUGGUUAAAUAUUUGAGCUAAACUCAAUUGUGCCAUUAAUACUGGUAAACUGGAGUACAGACGAGGUAGGCGGAAUAAGUUAAGUAGCGG